GAUGAAGAACGCAGCGAAAUGCGAUAAGUAGUGUGAAUUGCAGAAUUCAGUGAAUCAUCGAAUCUUUGAACGCACAUUGCGCCCCUUGGUAUUCCAUGGGGCAUGUCUGUUCGAGCGUCAUUUGUACCUUCAAGCUUUGCUUGGUGUUGGGUGUUUGUCUCGCCUUUGCGUGUAGACUCGCCUUAAAAUAAUUGGCAGCCGGCGUAUUGAUUUCGGAGCGCAGUACAUCUCGCGCUUUGCACUCAUAACGACAGCGUCCAAAAGUACAUUUUACACUCUUGACCUCGGAUCAGGUAGGGAUACCCGCUGAACUUAAGCAUAUCAAUAAGCGGAGGA
rnacentral:misc_RNA from 1 species